rnacentral:rRNA from 1 species
AACGAACGCUGGCGGCAUGCCUAACACAUGCAAGUCGAACGAGACCUUCGGGUCUGGUGGCGCACGGGUGCGUAACGCGGGGGAACCUGCCCUUAGGUUUGGAAUAACUCCCCGAAAGGGGUGCUAAUACCGGAGAAUGUCUUCCGACCAAAGAUUUAUCGCCUUUGGAUGGGCCGGCGUUGGAUUAGCUAGUUGGGAGGGUAAAAGCCUCCCAAGGCGAGGAUCCAUAACUGGUAUGAGAGGAUGAGCAGCCACACUGGGACUGAGACACGGCCCAGACUCUUACGGGAGGCAGCAGUGGGGAAUAUUGGACAAUGGGCGAAAGGAUGAUGCAGCAAUGACGGGUGAGUGAUGAAGGCCUUAGGGUUGUAAAGCUCUUUUACCCGGGAUGAUAAUGACAGUACCGGGAGAAUAAGCUCCGGCUAACUCCGUG